UAUAGAGGUGGCAAGCGUUGUUCGGAAUUACUGGGCGUAAAGCGCGCGUAGGCGGACCUGCAAGUCGGGGGUGAAAGCCCGAGGCUCAACCUCGGAACUGCCUUCGAUACUGCGGGUCUCGAGUCCGGGAGAGGUGAGUGGAAUUCCUAGUGUAGAGGUGAAAUUCGUAGAUAUUAGGAAGAACACCAGUGGCGAAGGCGGCUCACUGGCCCGGUACUGACGCUGAGGCGCGAAAGCGUGGGGAGCAAACAGG
rnacentral:rRNA from 1 species